rnacentral:lncRNA from 13 species
CCUCUUUCCUCUAUCUUCUGCUCGCUUGCGUACUCGUUCACACGCAUGUAACAUUCACAGAUGACAGCAGCACUUACGCAAAAUCACCUGGGAAUACAUGGCGUUGUGGUGGCUCUCUCCUUCACAGUCUGUCAAUGACUACAAAUGAGACCCUGGAUAAACACAUAUCUGUAUCAUGAUCCAGCUACGACUAUACUGGACAGACAGACAGUGAGGCAGACAGACAGACAGUGAGGCAGACAGACAAACAGUGAGGAAGACAGACAGACAGACUAUAUGGUAUCUCUAUAAGAUGGAAAUAAUGACUUACACGGGCAAACAGUGUUAUGGAUAAUAGUACUGGUGUCUUUGGAAUAAGCACAAAGUCAAUGAAAGUGCAUUUUUAUCUUAGACAUUUCUUUUUUGUUUUCCAUAAUAGGCUUGAAUAAAUGGAAUUCAUGGUAAUGUUUUCCUCAUGGGCAGUGACUAAAUGUUUAUACCACUGAGGAAAAUGACUUUCUUUUGUUUUCAUUAUGCUCAUCAACAACAGACUUCCAUCCAGUUGGAAUAUGCAUUAUGGAGGGGAACCAAGAAGACGUCAUGUCGCAAGGCAUCACGGGAAGAGGAUUUUGGCUGGCGGAGGGAGCGCAGGAAUGGCGUCGGACAGACAGUGUGACCCAGGGCUCAGGUGGCAGCUGUGCUACGACUUCUCUGCCAGGUCAUGGUGGAUGGUAGGGAUACUCCCUGUCUAUCUCUAUUUCUUUCUCCAUCACUCUCGCUUUCUCCAUCACUUUCGCUUUCUCCAUCACUUUCGCUUUCUCCAUCACUCUCGCUUUCUUCUCUCUCCAUUGACCAUCUCUUCAUUAAAUUGAAAAAAUGUGUUUCAUUAAAAUGACAUUUGGCUGGAGGUUGUUGCUCAGGUAUAGGGCGUCGAAAAUGUUUUGUUACUGUGGGUAUCUACUUUUAAAAUGGCAAGUUGACGGUCAGGAAUCAAUUGAUUGAAUGUUUGAUGAAGUGAUUUCUGGUGAGAGGAUGUAUUGUUGUGCGAGGGUCUGGUUGACUUGGGUGAAAGUAUUUCUGUAGAGAAGUUGUAGUCGCCUGCAUCAAUUGAUAUUGGAAUGAUGGUGUAGUCAUCAAAAUCCUGAUGACAAUUGUGAUCAUUUUGUGUUUUCAAUAAUGCUUUUUCUUUGGGCUACUUUAAAUGGUAAAAAGCUCAGGUGUGUGUGUGUGUGUGUGUGUGUGUGUGUGUGUGUGUGUGUGUGUGUGUGUGUGUGUGUGUGUGUGUGUGUGUGUGCAAAAUGAGGCUGCUGCCCUGAACUCUACUUUCAUUGCUAGUUUUUUUUAAAGUGAAAGUUGGUAGAUACUUAACGCCACUCACACAAUUAUUUAACAUAAUUGGGUGCUAGAUUCAAUAUUUCAAUUGCCGUGGAAUAAAGACUCUGACUGUUAUUAAAUACAAGCUUAUCUCUGUUGCUAUCCUAUUACUCUCAGCAUAUUGGGACUUCAAAUGUUUUGAAAAUGCUUGUUACUUUUGGCUUGCAUACAUUUAUCAUAUCAUCUACUGAAUAAUAAAUUAUCUCAAAUUUGAGAUGAAAGAUAAUUCCAAUGGAUGUAGUUUCAAACUGUACUUCAGCUUGUACUUAAUAUUCAGUGUUUUUCCCAGUCUUUAAAUACAAAUGGACAGAGGACUGUUUCUAAUAAGGGUUGAUAGGAGGUAUAAUUAUCAAAAAGCAUAAAGUAAUGAUUUUAGGUCUUAUUUUUGCAUCCACAUAGCCUACAUGUUUCACCCAUAUAGAUCAUAUAUCCUGCUUUAUACACAUACAAAACAACUAGAACAAUUUUUGCGCCCCCAGGUUCAGAACCAGGUGCCAGCCACCAAUAAUUUGACCCCUUUAUAUUAAAUAGUACAUAUUGAUAACAUUGAUCAUUCUGUACCACUCUUGUUUGCAUUGCAUUGAUUGUCCUUUGUGUGUUGGUACACAGCGCAGAGAUGUCCUGAGGCCUGACACAGUUAGAAAACCCCAGGCUUCCCUGCAGUGCCAGCCUGCUGCGCUCACUGCUAUGUAGGGCACCACAGGGCCUGCUGCCUUGCUGAGAGGGGGAGAGGGAGGAGGAGAGAAGGAUAGGGAGGCCGGCCAGAACUGGGGCCCCACGUAGGGGGGUGGCAGGGGAUGAGGCGACUGCAGGGUGCUGGGGCAGAGGGGUUGGCAAGGUUGGGUUAUUAUGGCUGGCAAAGGAACGUUCUCUCACCCUGUGGAGAAUCAGCAGGCCCUGCUAACCGGAACGUACGUGUCAGCAGAUCUAGUAUUGUUC